rnacentral:lncRNA from 1 species
GUGGGAGGAAUUAUUCUCUUGGAGGAAUUUAGUAUCUCUGGGCUAAGGAAUUCCCUGUCAGUGUCAAGAAAAUCCUGGGUUCCAAUUCUCCCUCACAAAUACUGGCUGUUACCAUGGUUGGCAGAAAGGACAAGAGAAGCAUCUUGGAGCCCCAUGAGCAAUGGCAUAAAGUCUUGACAUUUCUUCUUGAGCAACAGAAAACUAGAAGAAUUUAAUUGGCCAGGUAUAAAUGCCAAUGUUUCUGGAAAAAUUGCACCCCAUUCUCCUCCUCCUAAACCCAGUCAUUGAAGAAACCUACUAAAUCUCAUCUUUGCCUACUUUUGUCCACACAGUCUCCAUGAGGACCAUAUGCAGCCAGCACAUAUAGAUGUCUAAAAUAGGCCUUUUUCUCUAUAUUUUAUUUUAUAUUUUCCAGAUUACAUGUAAAUAAUUGACUUAAUAAUUUUCUGACAUUUUACAGUCCAAGUUGUUUCCCACCCUCCCAAAUUUUGUCUUUCUCCAAGAUAGGAGGUUAUACAAUAGAGAUUGUACAUGUACUAUCAUGCAUUACAUAUUUCCAUAUUUGUCAUUUUGUGAAAGAAGAUAUUUUUGUAAUAGAGAAAAAUUUAUGAAGGAAAUAAAGUGAAUAUUGUAUGCUUUAAUUUUUAUUCA